rnacentral:rRNA from 1 species
GGGAAUAUUGGACAAUGGGCGCAAGCCUGAUCCAGCCAUGCCGCGUGAGUGAUGACGGCCCUAGGGUUGUAAAGCUCUUUUACCUGGGAAGAUAAUGACGGUACCAGGAGAAUAAGCCCCGGCUAACUUCGUGCCAGCAGCCGCGGUAAUACGAAGGGGGCUAGCGUUGUUCGGAAUCACUGGGCGUAAAGCGCACGUAGGCGGACGCUUAAGUCAGGGGUGAAAUCCCGAGGCUCAACCUCGGAACUGCCUUUGAUACUGGGUGUCUUGAGUCCGGGAGAGGUGAGUGGAACUGCGAGUGUAGAGGUGAAAUUCGUAGAUAUUCGCAAGAACACCAGUGGCGAAGGCGGCUCACUGGCCCGGAACUGACGCUGAGGUGCGAAAGCGUGGGGAGCAAAC